UGUAACACAAGACUACAACAUUUCAUGGACACCAUGAAUCAAUCAAGCAUCUAGUACCUACAAAUAUGUAGUAUACUAUUUUUACAAGAUAGCAUGACUUUCACAACACAAAAAUUGAGCACACGGUAGCAUUUCAGUUCCAUCUAGAUACAACAAAAUCAUCCCAAAAUGUCAUGUCACAUAGCAUUGGAGUUACCUUCUUUUUAAUUGACUGCUGCAACUUGCAAAACUGAACUCCUAUGAACCUGAAACAGCGAGAAAGGGAUUAGGAUUUGACUGCUGCAGAUUUACAAACACUAAACCCAGAUUAACCUAAAAAAAUAGAGAGAAUUAGGAUGUGACCUGCUUGUGUUCUAGGGUUCAUGAAGAAAAAGGGACAGACACCAC
rnacentral:lncRNA from 1 species